AAUAAACCUUUGGACAUUACUUCUGAUACUUGCAUAGCCCUGAUGAAUUUGUAUGGGAUCAUUUUAAAUUGCACCAUAUGAACUUGCAUGUUGACCUGCAUAUCUGUAAAAAGCCUUUUUGGAAUCAACCCCAAAUUUUAGAAGAAAAACUUUUGCGAAGAAAAAUGUAGUGAAAUGUUCUGGGUAGAGAAGGAGGGCCAGGCCUGGUAAGAUACGUUUGUGCUGGCAGUGAAAGGUACUGAUGUUAGAAAGGACGUGAUAAUGCAGCACUAUAGGAUGCUGUUGUGUGAAAAUCAUGAGAAGACUGCUCGUAUCAAAGCAAGUGAAAGUUAUUACUUCCAUCCCAUGCAAUCAUACCCAGGGAGCCUUGAAAUUCCCUGCCUGCAUUUUCUUGCACUGAUUUAACAAAUCAUUCUCACUGGUUUUAUUAUACUGGAAGUGUAAAUCCUGGCCUGACUGCCUUUCUAUGUCAGUAGGAAAUCCUAUUCAGCAGUGAUGAAAUUAAUGCCUGAAAGGACACGAUAAACUGAGGAAGAAUGAGAGACAGAAUGUCGUGUAUUUAAAAAAAAAAAAAAAAAAAAGAAAAGAAAAAGAAAAAAACAGAACAAGGAGCAGGGUUGCAUUAGGCUGUUUGACUUCAAAUGGCAAAUGCAAUUCUGAUGGUGAUGCUCUGUGUAGUGUUCUUUCAACCACUCACGCAAUCAAGAUGUGGGAAGCCUCCCUUUGGAGCAGGGAGGCAUAUUCAUCCUCAGGGCUUUCUUCAACACCUGCCACAUACAAAAUAGAUUUUUUCAUGUUUCAGAAAGCUUGAUUCCCAGUGCCUGCCUCCACACCCCUGCCCUCACCUGUGACUGUUUUACAGACUGGCUUUUCUGCUGGCCAAUACGGCUGUGAAGUACAGCAGAUUUGUUCCGCAUGGGUCAGUGAAUAUCCAGUCCAUAAUGCGCAGUUUCAGUUGCCAUUCCAGUUCUGUUAAAUAACAUCUUUCCUCUGAGGGCUGUGUGUGACAAACCAGCUGCUGGAAAGAUUUCUUUUUCCUGGAAGUUCAUACCAGUGAUGCACAGGGCUAGAGUUGAACCAGAGCCUCCUAAUGAAUGACUCUGCAAUACAAUCCACUGAGCCUCAGAAGACCUAACC
rnacentral:lncRNA from 1 species